GAUGAACGCUAGCGGCAGGCCUAAUACAUGCAAGUCGAACGGUGUCUUCGGACAUAGUGGCGCACGGGUGCGUAACACGUAUGCAACCUACCUUACAUUGGGGGAUAGCCUUUCGAAAGGGAGAUUAAUACCGCAUAAGACAGUAGCUGGGCAUCCAGCAGCUGUUAAAGAUUUAUCGAUGUAAGCUGGGCAUGCGUCCAAUUAGCUAGUUGGUGAGGUAACGGCUCACCAAGGCAAGGAUUGGUAGGGGAACUGAGAGGUCAAUCCCCCACACGUGCGCCGGUAAAGGGACUAGACUCCUACGGGAGACGGCAGUAGGGAAUAUUGAGCAAUGGACGCAGGUCUGACCCAGCCAUGCCGCGUGCAGGAUGAAGGCGUUAUGCGUUGUAAACUGCUUUUAUACAAGAAGAAACGACUCUUGCGAGAGGCAUUGACGGUACUGUAUGAAUAAGCACCGGCUAACUCCGUGCCAGCCGCCGCAGUAACAC
rnacentral:rRNA from 1 species